CGCAUAGGAGCGUGAGAGGGAAGGGAGUCCGGGUGGUGACGCGAGAGGGAGCCGGUGCGUGGCGUGGGUCGGGCACGGCGUGAGAGCGGGCACAUGCAGAUGAGGCUCCCGGGCAGAGAGGGUUAGGCAGGAGUGCCCCGACUGGCUGGCCCUAGUAGUCUGCCUUACGACUCUACCCUGACAGCACGUGCACCAUGCCCCGCCGUCGCGAGUGUAACGCCCUCACACACCCUAACGAAGUGCUUAGUGUUUAGGGAAAGUGUGGAAAGUGUCGCUUGUGAUCCCUAAGUAUACCUGAUCCCCGCGUGGCUGUCCCGCAUCUCGUCCCGGUGAUCACAGUGAAGGGUUUACCUGGUGGUGGACGUACCCUGGUGUUGAGCCAAUACCUGGGAGGGAAAGUUGAUGUGUUGGUGAUGUAAGCCCCAAGAGGUGACGUCACAGUGUCUAAGAAGCCCCAAGAAGCUUACCUUCCUUGCCUCCCUCGCCCCCUCCGACGGAUAUCCCACGCCCUUGGAAACGCGCUCCCGAAAUUUUUAAGACGACAUUGCCAUCGAGGGGGAAAAAUGUGUAUAAGUGUGGCGCAUGAAAACUCAUUGUGAUGUGAGUGAUGAUUCGAACUUAUGGACUCACCUCUCGGAAAACUUGACGGUGUUAAGAGCGAAAACUCUAAAGAAACAGGAGAAGACUGACGGGAAGGGAGGAGCGGGAGGAGUGGAGAAUAGGAUGAGGACAGUGCGGACACGGAGAAAGGAAGGAGGAGGAACAGGAGGAAGGAGAGCUGUGAAAGAUAAAUGCAGGGGACGAAGGAAGAGGAGGCGAGGAUUCGGAAUAGAAGUUAUGUCGAGCGACGACGUGGAAACAGCCCGACGGAGUAAGAAGAUUUGGUGAGCAAGACCCUUGGCCCUCCUCCGCUGGCACCACUGCGGCACUGGCAAGAAGGCAUAGGCGGUGCUACGCUGCCCUUCGGUACCUCAUCAGUGCCCUCAGUAUGCCACAAGAAGGUGCUGGUGGUGAUGAGAUGAUACGCAGGGAUAGGAGACAAAGGAGUGCGGUGAGAGGGACGCAACCCAAGGCUCCGUCACAGCGCGGAUUCCACCUUAGGCUCCCGGGACACAAGGACGCAAGUACACGCAAACUGCAGUACGGGACUUGUGUAUGUCAACCCAGCAUGCAAGUCCUUCCGCGCCACGAGACAGCACGACGCCUCUGUACCCGAGCUCUGGCAACGCUGCGGAGGGAUAAUGAGGUGGGUCGGUGGCGCUGGGGCAGGAGGGUGAUUGGCAGGCUUACUCGGCCGCUUCUGACAAAGUACAAUGAGGAAGGGAGGAGGAAUGACGGGGGGAAAAGGACGGAACGGAGGCUACAGACAGACAGGCGGAGCGAAGGAGUAUGAGCAGGAAAGAGAGGAAGGAAGAGAUCGAAUGACUGAUAGGGAGAUGAUAAUGUGAGCAGGAAGAAGAGUGGAAAAUACAUGAUAAAGGAGGGAAUGAGAAGGAGAGUGGGAGAGAGUAGAAUGAGGGAGAUGAAUUAGGGAGCAAGUGGAAAAGAAAAGGAAGCCAAAAUUACGAAGUGAGGAAAAAAGCAAAGCACGAGUGGUAAAGAGAGAAAGAAAUGAAAGAGGAAUGAAAAAAAAAAAGAGAUGAAGUACUAGAAGAGGGAAGAUGACAAAGGGAGUGUUAGAAUGAAAUAGGACGAGGACGAAAAAGGGAGGAUGAAAAAGACAAAGGAUUCAGAGGGAGGAGAAUUAGGAAGGAGUGUUUGAGAGGAAGAGAUGAAGAAAAUAGGAAAAGAAGUAUAAGAAGACAAAGGAGAAUGUCAAGAAAAGAAAGAGGGAAAAGGAUUGCGACGAAGAGCUAAAAAUACAAACUUCGAUGAAAGGAAAUGAACGAAGAGGAAAAGGAUGAGAACAAGGAAAGAGAUGACAAAAUAAAACAAAACAAGCAGAAAAAGGAAGGUAAGAAAGAGAGGACAAAGAACUUUAAAGAGGAGACAGAAAAAGAAGAGAUGGAGGAAGAGAAGGAGGAGGAGGAGGAGGAGGAGAAACGAGUGAGGAAAAGUUACCAUGUGAAAAGGAGGAAGACACGAGGGAAAGACUUCAGACAGCCAUAAGACAUGAGGACAGUGUGUGUGUGUGUGUGUGUGUGUGUGUGUGUGUGUGUGUGUGUGUGUGUGUGUGUGUGUGACAAAUGGCAAAUAGAGAAAAGAAAGAUGAGUGAAGAUAUCAUUCUCUCCUCCUAUUCUUCUCCUACUCAUCCAUUUCCUCCUCCUCUUUCUCCUUCUACUCCUCCGCUUCCUCCUCCUCCUCCUCCUCCUCCUUCUCCUCCACUUACCCAUCAAGGCCGCUACCUC